rnacentral:rRNA from 1 species
UACAGAGGGGGCAAGCGUUAUUCGGAAUUAUUGGGCGUAAAGGGCGCGUAGGCGGCCUGGCAAGUGGAAGGUGAAAUCCCUCGGCUUAACCGAGGAACUGCCCUCCAAACUGCUUGGCUUGAGUCCGGGAGAGGUGAGUGGAAUUCCCAGUGUAGCGGUGAAAUGCGUAGAUAUCAGGAGGAACACCAAUAGCGAAGGCAGCUCGCUGGGACGUUACUGACACUGAGGCGCGAAAGCGUGGGGAGCGAACAGG